rnacentral:sRNA from 1 species
GGCGGCGGCUCCGCGGGGGAAACAGCGAGGCUGGCGCAGCGCCGAGGCCGCGGCCCUGGGGGCCCGCAAUCCACGCCACGGAAUCCCCGAGUGAGCAGGGGUGAGCGCAGCCACUGCCCAACGCAAACCGUGAAGAAGCUUCUGGAAGAGCAGAGGCGCCGCCAGCAGCAGCAGCCCGACGCUGGCGGGGUGCAGGGACAAUUUCUCCCUCCCCCAGAGCAGCCCCUGACCCCAUCUGUGAAUGAGGCUGUGACUGGCCACCCUCCCUUCCCAGCACACUCGGAGACUGUGGGUUCUGGAUUUAGCAGCCUGGGCUUUCCAGACUGGGACCCCAACACGCAUGCUGCCUACACAGACAGCCCCUACUCUUGCCCUGCUUCUGCUGCCGAAAAUUUCCUGCCUCCUGACUUCUACCCACCCUCGGACCCAGGGCAGCCGUGCCCAUUUCCCCAGGGCAUGGAGGCCGGACCCUGGAGAGUUUCUGCACUCCCUUCGGGACCCCCACAGUUGCCCGCUGUGGUCCCUGGACCAUCGCUGGAGGCAGCCCGAGCUCACAUGCUGGCUUUGGGGCCACAGCAGCUGCUGGCCCAGGAUGAGGAGGGGGACACGUGAGUAUAAGGGAUGCGGUUGUCUGCAGACUCUUGGCUUGGCGGGGGCUGUUCUCACGGCUGUCCCCCACCUGUCCUCAGGCUCCUUCACCUGUUCGCGGCUCGGGGGCUGCGCUGGGCGGCAUAUGCUGCGGCUGAGGUGCUCCAGGUGUACCGGCAUCUUGACAUUCGUGAGCAUAAGGGCAAGACCCCGCUUCUGGUGGCAGCUGCUGCCAACCAGCCCCUGAUUGUGGAGGAUCUGUUGAACCUGGGAGCAGAGCCCAAUGCCGCUGACCAUCAGGGACGUUCGGUCUUGCACGUGGCCGCUACCUACGGGCUCCCAGGAGUUCUCUUGGUAUGGCCAGCUGGCAGGCAGGGGUUUGUUUGGGGGGUAGACUGGUUGCCCAGAUUUUGGCUUCCACGGCCAGGAGGCCAGGGGAUACCCUUACCCAGCAGUCUGCCUUCUCUUCCUCCCAGGCUGUGCUUAACUCCGGGGUCCAGGUUGACCUGGAAGCCAGAGACUUCGAGGGUAAGUUGGGUGUGGGCAGAGCUGGUGUGGUUGGUGUGGCUGGGCGAGGUGGGUGCAGAUGCGGGUCCCUCACUGUCUCCAUUCUGCAGGCCUCACCCCGCUCCACACGGCCAUCCUGGCCCUUAACGUUGCUAUGCGCCCUUCCGACCUCUGUCCCCGGGUGCUGAGCACGCAGGCCCGAGACAGGCUGGAUUGUGUCCACAUGUUGCUGCAAAUGGGUGCUAAUCACACCAGCCAGGAGAUCAAGAGCAACAAGACAGUUCUGCACUUGGCCGUGCAGGCU